rfam:Danio rerio chromosome 4, GRCz11 reference primary assembly.
UAGCUCAGUCGAUAGAGCAUGAGACUCUUAAUCUCAGCGUCUUGGGUUAGAGCCCCAC